GAUCAAUACCUGCAAACUGCGAAGCUGAAAACAAACAGGAUGAAAACAAUGACAUCAUUACAUAUGCAGCUCUGCAGCUCCGUAACGGUUCUUCAGUGCCAAAAAAAGUUGCUCAAGAAAAGGCAACAGAGUAUGCAGAAGUUCGUUUCAAGAAACGCGUGCAGGAUAAUAAUAUCGUCUAUGCUGAUAUCAAUAUUACCAAGUUACACACAAAAGAAACAAUACCUCAUUACUAUAUAGAGGAUCAUGGGGCAGAAUAUGCUACGGUUAAGAAAAACACAAAGCCGUCUAAGAAGUAACUGCAUUAGAUAUCAUUUCUACAGACUACUUCUCCAGCUGUUGUUAGCCAGACAUAUCAAGAAGUAUACAAACUGUGAUCAUGAUAUAAUUUAAAAAUGCUUGCAAUCAUCUGGUUAUACUCACUGUUUUCAUACAACGUUACAUGGUGAAUCAAAUUUUUGUAUUACUAUAAAAUAUAACAGGAACCUAUAAAAUAAAGGAAAGGUAUUGAUGAAAAAGAGGCAAAUAAGGGAACAUUUUCUUUGCCUUAUAGCAUGUGAGCUUCCAUGGAUACAUAAUAUGCAGAAGGUAGGUUAUCCCUCGGGGUAGGAAUCAAUUCAUGAUGCAAAAGUGGACCCCAGCAUAUACUGUAUGUAAUUAAAUGGAAGGCAACCACAUGUCUGCAACCUGUUUAUGACAACUGCUAUGACAACGUAUCCAUUAACAGAGAUGUAUGGGUGCACUGACACUGCUUGGUUAAGGGGGGUCAUUGAAAGCUAUUUUUCAUGAAUUAAUAAGGUGUAUGUGCAAUAUUAAGUUUCAUCUGUUUUAGCAUUAGGGGGACAGGAUCAAUCGCACUUGAAACUCUGCAGAUCUGGGAGAAUCAUAACACCCAGAAAGAAAGGCAGGGGGAUGAAAAUUUAAAGACAUUACAAAGAAAGACAAUAUUCAUGCAUCAAAAGAAGUUGGGAGUGGUAGAUACUUUAAUGAAAAUCUUUAAGUGACAUUAGCUGCCUGCCAAUUCUAUUACACCAAAUAGAUCUCAGCUAAGAGUGAUGCCAUGUAUAGAAAGUGACAGCAAACAGAUUUAUCAGGUAAAUCAUGGAAUGUUUUUCUGAAGAGACUUUGUUUCUAGAUUUAUAAACCACUUUAAUAAUAUGUUUUCAGUGUCAAUAUUGCAGUGUUAUUAUACAGUGUUUUUCUUCAUUAUGGGGAAGGGUUGGGGUUCAUAUUGUCUUUAUAAUAUGGGCCAGAGACUGAGACAAUACAAAUAAAAAAAAAUCAGUUCUGGCAUACUAAAAUCAUAAAUAAUAUGUGCUGGACAACAGCUCCUGAUGGUGAGUUAUCCAAUGGAAAUUCAUGGCAUAAAGUUAAAAAAAGAGGAGGAAGAAGGGGGCAAGUAAGGAGCAUGAAGAUCAAGGGAGUUUAUCCCAUGAAGGUCUGAUGCUCCCCAUUUGAAGCUAGAUGGAAGUAAAAGAUCAAAGGAAAGGAAAGAGAGGCAAUGCAGCAGGAAGUACAUGAACUUUUUAGGUAUAUAGGGGAAAAAUGGUUUGAGAAAAAAGAACGUUCUCAGCCUUAUUAAAACAAAGAUCUUGCAAAAAUUCCAAAGGGAAAGGGUAGGUCUAAUUCUGCUGCAAGAAAAAAAGUUAAAGAAAAGAGAUGCUAGUAUUCUAAGUAACAUCAUAUUCAGGGGGGAAGCUAACAUGUAUUGGGUGGGGAAUACUGUUUAGCACUGAGCUGGCAUUAUUUCCCACAUGUCAUAUGUCACAUGUCAGCUGUACAGAAUGGAGGAGUGCAUGGGGGUGGAGACUAUAAUGUUACUAUGAGUCCAGAUGUAGAGGAGAUGUUUGUGUGGAAGGAAUAUCAUAUCACCAUGAGAAGGGAUAUGUGGGACAGAAUGGGAUCUGGAAUUUGAAGGAUUUAUGGGGGAAGAAGCAUUGGAGUAAGGCUAUUAAGAGUUAUCCUCUGCCUAGUGUACAGAGCAUGAAUGGACCCUAUCUUGUCUAUUACACAUUUGCAAGUCCAGUGAUAGCAUGAACACCUACUCAAGGGAUCUCAACCUCUUGUGAAAUAUUUAAAGGGCAUGUUGAAGGGAAAGGGAUAUAAAACAAUCCUCCACUCCAUAUAAACUGUAGUAAUUAUCUUACACCAUUCAAAUGUAAUAUGGAUAAAUGGAUGGAAAACCACACAUCCACCCCUGCUUUAGCACCUCAUGCCCCUCAUGGGUAGGGACAAUGAGUACAUGUCCCAACAUAUCCUUGUUCUGCUCACUUUUGGGCUAUUCAUAUGCAAAAUAUAAGGCCUAAAAGCAAUUAUGGGAAAGUAAGGAUAGGCUUCUUAAGAUCUUCACAGAUCAACAGCCUAGAAGUACCUAUGAAGGCUUUAUAAAGAUGUGUUAACUCAGGCAAAUAAGUUAGACAACUUAAAUGAUAUGCAAGGAGAUCAUGCGGGAUAUAAUGCUAAUGAGAUAUUUUUGCAAAAAUUACAAAGCACCUUGGCCCACUCUUGAACUGAAUGUCUCGACCUCCAUGAAUUGAACAUAUACAUAAUGUAUUAUCACUGUCCUGAUCAUAGUCCUGUCUCUGUCUGCCUGUCUAUGUGUCUGUCUGUCUAUCCAUCUAUACAGCACUAGCAUAUAGUUGUGGUAAGCUGCUCUACAUUAUUGUAAAAGUGCUAUUGUUGAGUGUCAGGAAAUGAAAGUAGGCCCCUAUUUAACAUGAGAGAGAGCUAUAAAAAGGAUGGAACUUGGCAGUAAUCGUGGAUUCAAAGGGACAUGAUAAUAUUUCAGCAGAAGAAUACUUAAAACCACUUGAGGAGGGGCAUAAUUUGGUCAUAACAAUGUACAAUUAUUUUUGUAAAUUACUGCUUUGUAUAGUAUCAACAGACCUGAAUGCUUAUGAGUUCAUUGCAAAUUAUGUACUUGUCUUCUAUAAAUUUUCAAUAAAAAGUUGAUAGAUUCAAGAACCA